AGGUGGGUGGCAGAGCGGUCGAUUGCGGCGGACUGUAAAUCCGUUUCUUAGGACACGUUGGUUCGAAUCCAACCCCGCCUA
rnacentral:tRNA from 1 species